rnacentral:rRNA from 1 species
CCUACGGGUGACAGCAGUGAGGAAUAUUGGUCAAUGGGCUUACGCCUGAACCAGCCAAGUCGCGUGAGGGAAGACUGCCCUAUGGGUUGUAAACCUCUUUUGUCAGGGAGCAACGCCGGCUACGUGUAGCCGGACUGAGAGGACCUGAAGAAAAAGCAUCGGCGAACUCCGUGCCAGCAGCCGCGGUAAUACGGAGGAUGCGAGCGUUAUCCGGAUUGAUUGGGUUUAAAGGGUGCGUAGGCGGAAUGCCAAGUCAGCGGUAAAAUCGCGGGGCUCAACCUCGCUCCGCCGUUGAAACUGGCGUUCUUGAGUGGGCGAGAAGUAUGCGGAAUGCGUGGUGUAGCGGUGAAAUGCAUCGCUAUCACGCAGAACUCCGAUUGCGAAGGCAGCAUACCGGCGCCCACCUGACGCUGACGCACGAAAGCGUGGGUAUCGAACAGGAUUAGAUACCCGGGUAGUC